rnacentral:rRNA from 1 species
GAUAAACGCUGGCGGCGUGCUUAACACAUGCAAGUCGAACGAAGUUUUUCUUUCGGGAGGAACUUAGUGGCGGACGGGUGAGUAACGCGUGGGUAACCUGCCCUGUACAGGGGGACAACAGCUGGAAACGGCUGCUAAUACCGCAUAAGCCCUUAGCACUGCAUGGUGCAUAGGGAAAAGGAGCAAUCCGGUACAGGAUGGACCCGCGUCUGAUUAGCCAGUUGGCAGGGUAACGGCCUACCAAAGCGACGACCAGUAGCCGAUCUGAGAGGAUGUACGGAGACAUUGGGGCUGAGACACAGUCGAGAAUCCUACGGGAGGGAGGAGAGGGGGAUAUUGCAAAAUGGAGUAAGCUCUGAAGGAGCGCGGGCGGGAGAGUGAAGAAGUAGUGCGGUAAGUAAAGCUCUAUAAGCAGGAAAGAAAAUGACGGUACCUGACGAAGAAGCACCGGCUAAAUACGUG